GCUCGGUAGUUUAGUUGGUAAAGCACUCGUCUAGCAUACAAGAGUCGUGGGUUCGGAUCCCACCCCUGAGCA
rnacentral:tRNA from 1 species